UGCGANAGCGUGGGGAGCAAACAGGAUUAGAUACCUUGGUAGUCCCCGCCGUAAACGAUGUCGACUUGGAGGUGGUGCCCAUGAGGCGUGGNUUCCGGAGCUAACGCGUUAAGUCGACCGCCUGGGGAGUACGGCCGCAAGNUNAAAACUCAAAUGAAUUGACGGGGGCCCGCACAAGCGGUGGAGCAUGNGGUUUAAUUNGAUGCAACGCGAAGAACCUUACCUACUCUUGACAUCCAGAGAACUUAGCAGAGAUGCUUUGGUGCCUUCGGGAACUUUGAGACAGGUGCUGCAUGGCUGUCGUCAGCUCGUGUUGUGAAAUGUUGGGUUAAGUCCCGCAACGAGCGCAACCCUUAUCCUUUGUUGCCAGCGGUUCGGCCGGGAACUCAAAGGAGACUGCCAGUGAUAAACUGGAGGAAGGUGGGGAUGACGUCAAGUCAUCAUGGCCCUUACGAGUAGGGCUACACACGUGCUACAAUGGCGCAUACAAAGAGAAGCGACCUCGCGAGAGCAAGCGGACCCAUAAAGUGCGUCGUAGUCCGGAUUGGAGUAUGCAACUNGACUCCAUGAAGUUGGAAUCGCUAGUAUUCGUA
rnacentral:rRNA from 1 species